UACAGGGGGUGCAAACGUUGCUCGGAAUUAUUGGGCGUAAAGCGCACGUAGGCGGUCGUUCAAGUCGAGUGUGAAAGCCCCCGGCUCAACUGGGGAGGGUCACUUGAUACUGAUCGACUCGAAGGCAGGAGAGGGAAGCGGAAUUCCCGGUGUAGUGGUGAAAUGCGUAGAUAUCGGGAGGAACACCAAUGGCGAAGGCGGCUUCCUGGCCUGUUCUUGACGCUGAGGCGCGAAAGCUAGGGGAGCAAACGGG
rnacentral:rRNA from 1 species